CUGGCUCAGGAUGAACGCUAGCGGCAGGCUUAACACAUGCAAGUCGAGGGGCAUCGGGAGUAGCAAUACUGCCGGCGACCGGCGCAAGGGUGCGUAACGCGUGAGCAACAUGCCCGUAUCAGGGGGAUAAUCCAUGGAAACGUGGUCUAAUACCCCAUAGUAAUUAUGUAAGGCAUCUUAUAUAAUUUAAAGCUUUGGUGGAUACGGAUUGGCUCGCGUGACAUUAGCUAGAUGGUAAGGUAACGGCUUACCAUGGCUACGAUGUCUAGGGGUUCUGAGAGGAAGGUCCCCCACACUGGAACUGAGACACGGUCCAGACUCCUACGGGAGGCAGCAGUGAGGAAUAUUGGACAAUGGAUGGAAAUCUGAUCCAGCUAUGCCGCGUGCAGGAAGAACCGGCCCUAUGGGUUGUAAACUGCUUUUGUAUGGGAGCAAUAAGGGCUACGUGUAGUCCGAUGAGAGUACCAUACGAAUAAGCACCGGCUAACUCCGUGCCAGCAGCAGC
rnacentral:rRNA from 1 species